rnacentral:tRNA from 1 species
GCCCGGCUAGCUCAGUCGGUAGAGCAUGAGACUCAAUCUCAGGGUCGUGGGUUUUGAACCCCAUCUGGGCU